AACGAACGCUGGCGGCAGGCUUAACACAUGCAAGUCGAACGCCCCGCAAGGGGAGUGGCAGACGGGUGAGUAACACGUGGGAACGUGCCCAAAGGUACGGAACAACUCCGGGAAACUGGAGCUAAUACCGUAUGUGUCCGCAAGGAGAAAGAUUUAUCGCCUUUGGAUCGGCCCGCGUCGGAUUAGCUAGUUGGUGGGGUAAUGGCCUACCAAGGCGACGAUCCGUAGCUGGUUUGAGAGAACGACCAGCCACACUGGGACUGAGACACGGCCCAGACUCCUACGGGAGGCAGCAGUGGGGAAUCUUGGACAAUGGGCGCAAGCCUGAUCCAGCCAUGCCGCGUGGAUGAUGAAGGCCUUAGGGUUGUAAAAUCCUUUCGUCAGGGACGAUAAUGACGGUACCUGAAGAAGAAGCCCCGGCUAACUUCGUGCCAGCAGCCGCCGCGG
rnacentral:rRNA from 1 species